rnacentral:lncRNA from 1 species
CAGGCUCUGCGCGGCUCGAGGCGGCCCUACAGGGGGCGAGGAGGAACCCCGGAGACUCGGCGGAGAGAGCAGAGACGGAGCUCACCAAGGGGCUUGCCGCCGCAGAGCGCGGGAGCCGGCACUCGGGGUACUUAACCGAAACUAGCAAUCCCAGGCGGUACAAGGCCCUCCAUCGUAGGCAAAGCACUACCUGAAUGUAGAUUUGGGCCAUACGUUGGAAAAUAAGACAUGAGAGUAUGCUCCGAUCAACUUUUACUGUUCACUGGACAACUAUUUUGGGAAUUUGCAGACCUAUAAAGCCCAUCUAUAAAUCUCAAGCAUGUCCACUUUCAGAGAAGAGAAAUGCUGACAACCAUUUAGUCUCUGAGGACAACACUUUUAAAGGUACUGUUUUAUUUAGUGUGUAAACAACUUCUUUAUAUGAGGUAUUUAGUGGUUAGAAAGGAAAACUUGUUAAAGGUAGAAAAAUAACUUUUGGCAAUUUUUAAUAGUAUGUAAUUUAGUGGUAUAGAUAAGAUUUUGAUUGACUGAAAGUGAAGCUAUAGGCUGGGUACAGUGGCUCACACCUGUAAUCCCAGCACUUUGGGAGGCCAAGGCGGGUGGAUCACCUGAGGUCAGGAGUUCAAGACCAGCCUGGCCAACAU